UUUACCUUUAGGAGGGGGAUAACAAUUGGGAACGAUUGCUAAUACCCCAUAUGCUUUUUUAAGUGAAAUGGAUUUUUCCGCCUAAAGAAAAGCUCGCGGCUGAUUAGCUAGUUGGUAAGGUAAUGGCUUACCAAGGCGACGAUCAGUAUCUGGUUUGAGAGGACGAUCAGACACACUGGAACUGAGACAGGUCCAGACUCCUACGGGAGGCAGCAGUGGGGAAUUUUCCGCAAUGGGCGAAAGCCUGACGGAGCAAUACCGCGUGAGGGAAGACAGCCUACUGGGUUGUAAACCUCUUUUUUCAGGGAGGAAAAAAAUGACGUGUACCUGAAGAAUAAGCAUCGGCUAACUCCGUGCCAGCAGCCGCGGUAAGACGGAGGAUGCAAGUGUUAUCCGGAGGCGUAAAGCGUCUGUAGGUUGGUUAAUAAGUCAACUG
rnacentral:rRNA from 1 species